rnacentral:rRNA from 1 species
GACGAACGCUGGCGGCGUGCCUAAUACAUGCAAGUCGAACGCAGUUGCGAACGGGGGAGUAACGCGUAGGUAACUGCCUGGUAGCGGGGGAUAACUAUUGGAAAAGAUAGCUAAUACAGCAUACUACCAGAUGGACCUGCGUUGUAUUAGCUCGUUGGUUGGGUAACGGCUCACCAAGGCAACGAUACAUAGCCGACCUGAGAGGGGGAUCGGCCACACUGGGACUGGGACACGGCCCAGACUUCUACCGGAGGCAGCAGUAGGGAAUCUUCGGCAAUUGACGGAAAGCUGACCGAGCAAAGCCGCGUGAGUGAAGAAGGGUUUCGGAUCGUAAAGCUCUUUUGUAAGAGAAGCGGUAUCUUACCAGAAAGGGACGGCUAACUACGUGCCAGCAGCCGCGGUAAUAC